GGGAUUAGAUACCCCACUAUGCUUAGCCUUAAACCUAGAUGUUAAAUUUACAAGAAACAUCCGCCAGGGUACUACAAGCGCUAGCUUAAAACCCAAAGGACUUGACGGUGUCUCAGACCCACCUAGAGGAGCCUGUUCUAGAACCGAUAAUCCCCGUUAAACCUCACCACCCCUUGUUUAACCCGCCUAUAUACCGCCGUCGCAAGCUUACCCUGUGAAGGUCUCAUAGUAAGCAAAAUGGGUAGAUCCCAGAACGUCAGGUCGAGGUGUAGCUUACGAGGUGGGAAGAAAUGGGCUACAUUUUCUAUAUCAGAAUAACACGAACAGUACUAUGAAAUUAGUACUCGAAGGUGGAUUUAGUAGUAAAAAACAAAUAGAGAGUCUUUUUGAACCAGGCUCUGAGACGCGCACACACCGCCCC
rnacentral:rRNA from 1 species